rnacentral:rRNA from 1 species
UGUAUGAAGUUGGAAUCGCUAGUAAUCGCGGAUCAGCAUGCCGCGGUGAAUACGUUCCCGGGCCUUGUACACACCGCCCGUCACACCAUGAGAGUCGGGAACACCCGAAGUCCGUAGCCUAACCGCAAGGGGGGCGCGGCCGAAGGUGGGUUCGAUAAUUGGGGUGAAGUCGUAACAAGGUAGC